UACGUAGGGUGCGAGCGUUAAUCGGAAUUACUGGGCGUAAAGCGUGCGUAGACGGUUACAUAAGUCGGGUGUGAAAGCCCCGGGCUCAACCUGGGAAUUGCAGUCGAUACUACUCAGCUAGAGUAUGGGAGAGGGUAGUGGAAUUCCCGGUGUAGCGGUGAAAUGCGUAGAUAUCGGGAGGAACAUCAGUGGCGAAGGCGGCUACCUGGCCCAAUACUGACACUCAGGUGCGACAGCGUGGGGAGCAAACAGG
rnacentral:rRNA from 1 species